AGGGCAAGGUAGGCAUACCUCAUCAGCAGCAUGCCUCUGCUUCAGGGGAACAGGUUGACGGCAGUUCUGCGGUCAUCAACACAGGACUUUCAAGAUCACCUAGGCAUCAUUUUCACCCAGGGAAGCUGGAAGCAGGGAAAAGGGGAAGGAGCAUAUUUGAGAGGCUUUUGGAAGUCAGACCAGGAGAUGGGACACGACUUCCACUCACAUUCCAUCAGCUGGUACUCAGGCACAGAGACACAGCCAUCUGCAAGAAGCUGAGAGAUAUAACCUGCCCGAGUGCCCAGAAGAAAGGAACCCAGAAUUUGGAGAAUACCUAGCAAUCUCUGCCAAGGGUCAUGUUUCUGUAAUCAUUUCUUACUAUGCACAGAAUAAGAGUUGAGUUAGUGUUAGCUUCUUCCCUUCUCUCAUUCCUUUCUCACUUUUUCUCUUGCUAUCAUCCAUUCUACUAUAUAAAUAAUAUUUCUCAUAUCAGAUAUUACCAUUGAUCACAGAAUGAAAACUCUUCAAAUGAUAUCAGAACAGCAAAACAGAGAUGAGAUGAUUUUUAUAAAAAACAACCUCUUGCCAAGAAGGGAUUUAGGUUUACUUAUAUUUGUUAUUUUAAUUAUGAUCAUAAUUACCUCUUUUCUAAGACAUCAUUGGCUACAGAAUACUUGACUUGCUAAACUAC
rnacentral:lncRNA from 10 species